CAUCAGUAGGUAAUCCUUACCUAUAAAUUUUCAAUGAUGAUGGAGAUGGCCAUAUCCCUUAACUGGGAUUGAUUAUUUUAUGAAAAACUGGCUACUCAUAUCGCUGAU
rnacentral:snoRNA from 15 species